ensembl:lncRNA
GCGGAGACGAAGUCAUAGCACGUAACAGGGCAGUAAAUCAGCUGUGUAAUAUUUGCAGUGUUAAAAGUUAUUAAUUCCCAAAGAUUUGAAUUAACAAUCCACAGUGUUAAACAGUACUCGUGUUCAGUGUUGUUAUAUGGUGUAAUUUCACUUUUACACUAAAAGUGCGAAAUAAAAGACCCGCCGAAUUGUCUGGACUCCGCCCUUCAGUGACUGCUGCCUCGCAAAGCGACAACGCCAUCUUUUCUUCGAGCGACCGAGACGUUGGUCGUCCUCUCGCCUUUGUUCCCUCCUCGGCCUGGGGUUACUGCGAAUCUGGCGCUGAAGACUGAAGCUGCUAACGUUAUAUUUGAAGCCUCAGAAGACCUUCAAGGAUCCAGUUGACCUCUGAAUCAGCUGUUAAGAAAAUGGGACAGUUGAUUCCACCAUCAUUACAAGGCUGCAAGGGAUCUGGAAAAAUGUCAUCCUGUCAAGCUGAAAAACAUCUUCAAAAAGGCACUAACAAGAACAGCUUGAUUGCAGAGAAGAGACCACACAGCCAUACACGCUCACUGAUGGGACGAUGAGGAACAUCAUUCAUGGAUGCUACACAACUCAAAUCUACACGUCAUAUUUGUUCAUGUCUAGGUAAAUUUGAUGAUUUUGUGUUUUAUUAACUACUUUGUUUCUGUGCAACACUUAAUGAAUGUGACUGACUAAUUAACCUCUACACAUCUGGUAUAUGCUUUAAAGUUGCCACUUUGCCCAUUUGUUCAAUAAAUGUUGAAAUGUAUACAUCUGUCUGAAGACUUUCCUGAUUUUAUGUCUAUCCUUUUACAUUAACUUUAUUUUUAUCAUAUUUAACAUUAUUUUUUUUUGUUUGCACUGAAAAGAGGACAUUAUUA